CAGAUGCAGAGGGACAAGAUGUGCACCAAAGAGUCAUGGGGAAGGCAAGCGGGACCCCGUAAGAAGGUGCAGGACGCAGGCUCAGAGGCUCUAAGCCACAUGCUGAUGAGCGGGCUGAGAAGGUGCCCUGUGAGCCAUCUUUGGAAGCGGAUGAGCAUCAGAGGUGAGCUGAGGCAGUAGUGAGGAGGAGCUUGUGGCUGGUGACUUCUCACAUGUGCAACAGUAAUUUUGUUUCUUGGUAUCUCAAGCAAUGAUGGCCGCAGCGUCUGACUCUGGAAGGAGCAGGUGAGUGGAAUCCCAUUGUGCUUUUGAGGAAGGGGAAAUUGUGGAAGAGGUUGGCGGUGGCCUAUCUGAAACUUCUUGCUGUCACUGUUUGGUUUUCUUUAAUUGUAGAUGAUGAGGAGGAACCUGGUGACUACAGGAAUAUCCCAGAUAGUUAAUGUGCUGGUUUU